CUUUUGUCUUGUCUGAGGAGGGGAUUGGAGGAGGGGCGGAGACGGCGGAGGGAAGGUGGGGCUCCUCGCCGGUGAUUAGCGGCAGGUCGGCCAGUCGGAGCUGGGGCGCGGCGGGUCCCCAGCAAGGAGCGCUUGAAUGCGGGAGGUGUACUUCACAGGGACGGCCACAAGUACGGGAGAUGUUGGUCUGGAGAGGAGCUCGGCGGAUAGUAGCUCUCCCGUCGUGCUCGCCACCAGCGCCCGUCGAUGGGGGAGGUAGUAGUCGCCGGAGGCGGUGGGGGGCAAGGUACUUUUCCCCCGGUUUCCCUGCUGUUAUCGCUCUUCCCAAUUUGUCCCUGUGUUGCUCGAUGUGAUAUGCCUCUCCCCGCGUUCGAUUCAGUUCAUCGUCAUGGUCGCCGGUCAUAGAGCUCGUCGCAGGUGUCGCUCAGUUAGUUGUUCUUUUGGCCAGGAAUAUUUGUGAUGGCUUAGUUCAUCAGGAACGCUCCUGAAAUUUCAGUCUGUAGUUGAUUCACUCAUUUAUCACAAUAAUUCAUCAGUUUUGUAUAUGCGAAGUGCUCUCAGCUCUUAUGUUUCUCAUUCUUCAAGCUUACAUCAUUCUUUAGUCAUUCAGUCCUGAGAUUUUAGUUAUAUAUCAUUCUUCACACAGUUAUUUUAGCUUCCAUUUGUUCAUUUUUCAGUCACUCUGAAAUGGAGCUUCCAAAAUCUUUGGUUCUCAUUUCAUUAAUGUUUCAUUUAGUUGAAUACUGUGUGUUCUCUCUUCAGUUUCAGUAUUUCAGUUUUAGUAAUUGCUCAGAUCAUCUUCACAUCUUCUGCUAGCCUAAAUUCUGUAUCAUGUUCAUUAGUAGUAUCAGCCAAUGUUCAGAGAGUUGACUCAUCAGUCAAUGUUCAGAGAGCAUGCAUCAUUGUUCAGUUGUUCAUUCAAUCAUAUAAUAUUAUUAUGAGUAUCUUCAGUUCACUCUAGUGUUUCUUCAGUCUUUUUUUUUUGUUUUGCUGUCUCCAGUCUCUCUUCUUUCCAGAACUGAUAGUUGGAAGUUCAUCUUAGCUAUACACGGGCAUCAAGGACCAAGUGUAGUAUCUGCAACCCAGUGCAGGAUUCAAUAUUUGUACCCGAACUAUUCAGGUUUAAGUUUUAGCAGUGUAGUAUUUGUACCCAAGUUCUUCAGGUUUCAGUUUCUUUAACAAGGAGCAGCUUGUGGAGGUCCAUGGCGCGUGGCGAGGCGCUCGCAAGCAGCGCUUGUAUUCGUGAGGGUUUGUUCCCUACAACGGUGGGGGGAAGCAGAGAUGCAGGUAUGGAGAGGAGCUCAGCGGAGCUGUCCCGUCGGGCUCGCCAUCAGCCAGCAGCCGUUGUGGGGUGUGUGGAGGUGGUAGUCAUCGGCACCGCUCGAGCGUUUCGAAAGUGAUAUUAGCUACCAAGUUGUCAUCAUGUGGAUGCCCUUUUAAGGUAGCCUCCAGCUUGCGGACCACCCCGACGGUAGGCAUGGCAGGAAUAUGCCUUGGGGGAUGGAUUGUAAGCACUGCCGCAUACAAGACAGUAGCAGAUGGUCGUAUCGCUUUUCAACAAGGAUUUCUGGGAGGAAUUCCUGGAGGAGAACUACCUAGCAUUGACAGAGCGUUGCUAAUCACCAUCAGGAACAGUGCACUAGACGAACUGAACAUGAUGGUUGUCUUCAACGAGAUCUAAUUAUGAGAUUGCCAGGAAUAAGGCUCAUUUAAGUUACCGCAGUUUGUUAUGUUGUCUAUUAUCCAUGUCGCGCCAGCAGAUUGACGAACUAUGCUUUGUUUCUUUUUAUUUUUUACUUGGUGGUAUGCACAGUGAACAACUAUGUAAUAUCGAGUCUGAAAACUUCUUGUGCUUU